UACGUAGGGUGCAAGCGUUGUCCGGAAUUAUUGGGCGUAAAGAGCUCGUAGGCGGCUUGUCGCGUCGGGUGUGAAAACCCGCGGCUUAACCGCGGGCCUGCAUCCGGUACGGGCAGGCUAGAGUUCGGCAGGGGAGACUGGAAUUCCUGGUGUAGCGGUGAAAUGCGCAGAUAUCAGGAGGAACACCGGUGGCGAAGGCGGGUCUCUGGGCCGAUACUGACGCUGAGGAGCGAAAGCGUGGGGAGCGAACAGG
rnacentral:rRNA from 1 species